GACAUGUGUUGGCCCCUCCUCUCCCUCGGCUGAGCUGCGCUGCUGAGUUGAAGCGCAACAGCCCCGAGAGCGCAGCAGCGACUUCACCGCUGCGACUUUGAUGACGGCGGGUUUGGAAGCCGUCGAUGAGCGCGUUUGAAGAGGCUUGCUGGUGAAGACAAGGGGGGACGAGAAUCGAACCUGUGGCUCCCUCUCUGCCGGUCGUUUUAAAAAAUGAAAUUCCUGAUCUGUGUGGUCGCGGUCGCCUUGGCUGUGAGAUCUGCGCACGGGG